rnacentral:rRNA from 1 species
GACGAACGCUGGCGGCGUGCUUAACACAUGCAAGUCGAACGGAAAGGCCCUGCUUUUGUGGGGUUCUCGAUUGGCGAACGGGUGAGUAACACGUGAGUAACCUGCCCUUGACUUUGGGAUAACUUCAGGAAACUGGGGCUAAUACCGGAUAUGAUCUCCUGCUGCAUGUUGGGGGUUGGAAAGUUUCGGCGGUUGUGGAUGGACUCGCGGCUUAUCAGCUUGUUGGUGGGGUAGUGGCUUACCAAGGCUUUGACGGGUAGCCGGCCUGAGAGGGUGACCGGCCACAUUGGGACUGAGAUACGGACCAGAAUCCUACGGGAGGCAGCAGUGGGGAAUAUUGCACAAUGGGCGGAAGCCUGAUGCAGAAACGCCGCGUGCGGGAUGACGGCCUUCGGGUUGUAAACAGCUUUCGACUGUGACGAAGAGUGAGUGACGGUAAUGGGUAAAGAAGCACCGGCUAACUACGUG